GCCCUCGUAGCUCAAUGGAUAGAGCAAAUCCCUUCUAAGGAUAAGAUGAAGGUUCGAUUCCUCCCGAGGGCA
rnacentral:tRNA from 1 species